rnacentral:rRNA from 1 species
UACGUAGGGCGCAAGCGUUAUCCGGAAUUAUUGGGCGUAAAGAGCUCGUAGGCGGUUUGUCGCGUCUGCCGUGAAAAUCCGGGGCUCAACCCCGGACCUGCAUUCGAUACGGGCAGACUAGAGUUCGGUAGGGGAGAUCGGAAUUCCUGGUGUAGCGGUGAAAUGCGCAGAUAUCAGGAGGAACACCGGUGGCGAAGGCGGAUCUCUGGGCCGAUACUGACGCUGAGGAGCGAAAGCAUGGGGAGCGAACAGG